UACGUAGGAUCCAAGCGUUAUCCGGAAUUACUGGGCGUAAAGCGUGCGCAGGCGGUGAGCUGUGUCCGAUGUGAAAGCCCCGGGCUUAACCUGGGAAUGGCAUUGGAAACUGGCUCGCUGGAGUGUGGCAGAGGGGGGUGGAAUUCCGCGUGUAGCAGUGAAAUGCGUAGAGAUGCGGAGGAACACCGAUGGCGAAGGCAGCCCCCUGGGCUAACACUGACGCUCAGGCACGAAAGCGUGGGGAGCAAACAGG
rnacentral:rRNA from 1 species